UACAUAGGGGGCAAGCGUUGUCCGGAUUUAUUGGGCGUAAAGAGCGUGUAGGCGGUUAGGUAGGUCCGUUGUGAAAACUCGAGGCUCAACCUCGAGACGCCGAUGGAAACCAUCUGACUAGAGUCCGGAAGAGGAGAGUGGAAUUCCUGGUGUAGCGGUGAAAUGCGCAGAUAUCAGGAAGAACACCCGUGGCUAAGGCGGCUCUCUAGUACGUGACUGACGCUGAGACGCGAAAGCGUGGGGAGCGAACAGG
rnacentral:rRNA from 1 species